rnacentral:lncRNA from 1 species
UCAACAAUAACACAAAAAGCUCUGGUGGUAUCUUCUUAUAUUUGCUUUCUACCUCUUAUGGUAUCCUUUGAUUUCAGCCUCUGGUGGUAUUUUCUGAUUUUUUCCUCUGAUGGUAUUCUCUGAUUUUUGCCUCUGAUUCUGUUUCUGCCUCUAAUGUUAUCCUCUAAUUUAUGCCUGGUAUCUUCUGAUUUUUGCCUCUGAUUCUGUUUUUGUGUCUGGUUGUAUCCUCUAGUUCUAGUUAUGGUUCCCUCUUAGUUCUUGUUGUUUUUAUUUUUUAUUCUUUUUGUUUUAGGGCAACAGUAGCAUUCUCUUCCAUCUUUUCAGUCUCCUUGCUUUUCACUUUUACAACAAUACACGCCACAUUUCUAACUUUUUGUUAGCCUGUUUUGCUUUUUCCAUUUUUUCCUAAACAAGCUGAAAUUUUUUUUCUUGUGUCACACCAUCUUUCUAAUCCUCUUUUAG